rnacentral:misc_RNA from 1 species
GAUGAAGAACGUAGCGAAAUGCGAUAAGUAAUGUGAAUUGCAGGAUUCAGUGAAUCAUCGAAUCUUUGAGCGCACAUUGCGCCCGUCAGUAUUCUGGCGGGCAUGCCUGUUCGAGCGUCAUUACGCCCCUCAAGUCCCCUGUGGACUUGGUGUUGGGGAUCGGCGAGGCUGGUUUUCCAGCACAGCCGUCCCUUAAAUUAAUUGGCGGUCUCGCCGUGGCCCUCCUCUGCGCAGUAGUAAAACACUCGCAACAGGAGCCCGGCGCGGUCCACUGCCGUAAAACCCCCCAACUUUUUAUAGUUGACCUCGAAUCAGGUAGGACUACCCGCUGAACUUAAGCAUAUCAAUAAGCGGAGGA